rnacentral:rRNA from 1 species
CCCUUAGAUGUUCUGGGCCGCACGCGCGCUACACUGACGGAGGCAGCGAGCAUGUCCUUCGCCGAGAGGUGUGGGGAAUCUUGUGAGUCUCCGUCGUGCUGGGGAUAGAUGGUUGCAAUUGUCGAUCUUGAACGAGGAAUUCCUAGUAAACGCAAGUCAUCAGCUUGCAUUGAUUACGUCCCUGCCCUUUGUACACACCGCCCGUCGCACCUACCGAUUGAAUGGUCCGGUGAAAUCUUCGGAUUGAGACUUUGAUUUCUUCACGGAAAACGCUGUUUUAAAAAGUUGAUUAAACCUUACCAUUUAGAGGAAGGUGAAGUCGUAACA